GCCCCCUGCCCAGCCGCCCCGCCCCCGCCCACCUGCCCACCUUCCUCUGGGCGCAUCCCGGACCCACUCCCCUCGGGUCCCCGCCCCAUCGCGGGUCCCAGGCGGGGUCCGGUCCCUGCGUCCGGGGCGGAACCCGGCUGGCACGGCAGCUCGGUCUCCUGGCCCUGGGCCUGCGGGUUAACGCUUAACUACGCUUCCAGAGUCCAGCCGCAUCCCUAGCCCCCAACCUUUGGCCCCAGCGGCCCAAACGAGGGGUGGAGGGUGAAGGAGGUGGGGAAAAGGCGUGAGCAAAGGUGUGGAGGAGGGAAGCCAAAGUGGGACCCUAUCCUAAGGGUGCUGGAGCGGCUGGACCUGCCCGGACUGCGACAGCGCCAGUCCUGCCUCGCACCCGGACCUACUGGCCAUUCUGCGGCGCCUCUCCACAGCCUGUGGGGAGGGACUGCCCCCGGUUCUUCCUGGGCCUCCCGAGCCAGCUGCGUGGAGGUACUAGGCCAAGGUAGCUGCACCAGGAGGGCAGAUGUGGAGUCAGCAGUGGAGCCGUGGACACACCCGUAGGCCUGAGCACACCCAGGUGAGUGGGCCAGUGACAUUCUGGUGCUCCAGAGUUGGGGAGCUGUAUCGGUCCUGCCCAAGCACCACGAUGCUAGAAGCCCUCAGGGACAGAUGGUGACCCUCCUUAGUGCACACUAAAAACCCACUGGGAGACCGGAAGAGGAACUCAAGGAGGACAUAAGGCUCCAGUGCCCUCAAGUUGAUACAGGCAUUAAAUGCAACCCUAGUAAAAUUAGCUUCAGAUAGUUUUAUAAAUACACAAAAAUUCUAAACUCCAUGAAGAAAUAAAGAUGCAAAAAUGUCUCGUCUUGAAGGACUGGAGUAGAGUUUCUCCAAAGAAGAGACCCAAGCAGCCAAUAGGCACACGAAAAGAAGCUGACACCACUAAUCAUUAGGAAAUGCAAAUCAAAACUACAAGGAGGUACUGCCUUGCUAUUGCCCAAGCAAACCUAGUGUUGUGGUGGGGGCCGAGGAACUGGCACGUGCCUGUGUGCACUGUUGUGAGAACAUAAGAUGGUUCAGUUGCUACAGAGCGCAGGAGGGCAGUUCCGAACCUAAAAACUAAAAGUCACCACCAGUGCCACGUGGGUAGAGCGGAACGUGGGACCUGAGCAGACAGCUCUGUACGCCCAUGUUCACCACAGCACUGCUCACAACAGCCCCGAGGGGCAGAGCCUGCAGCCGCGGCAGCCAGAGUGUGUGCUAUGAACCUGCAUUAAAUCUCCCAAAGACACCUGGACACAGCGCAGCCUGGACGACCCGUAACACUAUGCUGAGGGGAACAGCCAGUCUCAGGGGCCCAGUGCUGAACCAGUCCGCUCACAGAGGCUCCUGGUGUGGUCAGAUCCACAGGGACCUGGGUGGCGUGGUGGGUACCUGGGGUGGGGCGAGGGGAACGAUGAAUCAGGGUCUACUGGGGAGUUGCAGUUUGGGGAGAUGGAAAAGUUCUGGAGCUGGAGGGAGGCCAUGGCCCCGUGGCAGUGUGGGUCCUUAGUGCCACUGGACUGGUGACUGGGAAUGGUCCCUGGGGAAAUGGUGUGUUUUGGUUAUUCUACUAUAUGAUAAAAUGGGACGAAGAGCCCAUAGAACUUGGAGAAGGAGAAGAAGGAGGAUCUAGCACUGCCAGCAGGUAGCCUGUCCUGGGGCCACCGGGACAUUCUGUUAGCAGCCUACUGGACCCAGGCCUGAGGUCUGCAUGGCCACUUAGAGCGAUUAGUUGUGCAUGUAAAGUCCAGGAGGAACGGGGAGUGAUUUUGGAAUCAGGGUGUUGAGACAAGAGGGUGGUCUCCUGGAGAAAACCUGCCCGUGGACCCCAUCCCACACCUGACGGGGAAAUGCACUCCCUACACGAGAAGUCUAAAUGCAAAAAACAAAACCACGAAAGCAUUCGAAGGAAACGCAGGAGUUUAUUUCACAAUCCCAAGACGAGGAAGGUUUUUCUAAGCAGGACACAAAAACAAAAGCCUUAAAACACAUUCCUGCAAAGCUUAACAAAUUACAAACGGCAACAAUUGCACUGACACUGGUUUUAGAAUCAAAGGAACUGCAACAUGCAGGGGAUCGGAAGGCGCAUGCCCACAAGUGCCGGUGCCACCUGGGCACAGACAGUAGGUGCCGGUGAGGAAGGGGCUGCGCCGGGAGGGGCCGUGGCUGCUGCUGCGGGUGCUUCGCUUCACCCACGGUCAGAAGUGCAAGUGGGUUCUAGGGGAGAGGGCCGCUCAGCUGCUGGCAGCGUGUGGGUGAGUUGGGGUGCAGGUAGAGGGGCCUUGGUCCCUCCUGUCUCCCCAGGCACUGCUGGGAUUGUUCUGCUGAGGAAGCUCAUUAACAGGAAUUGUGCUGUAUUUGUUUCCAUUGUGGGAUGAGGUCUUGCUAUGUUGCCCAGGCUAUGUUGCUUUAAUCUUCAGGGCAGAGAAUCAGGAGGCAGGGAGUCCCAAAGAAUGGCCCAGAAUCGUGGGAAUGUCCAGCAGGUCAUGUGGGUUUGGGUCAAGGACACCAUGACCUCAGGGUCAGACAGGGCCCAGCUAGUACCUGGGGCUGGAGGCUGUAUGUAGGUGUCCCUUGGGAGUUGCAGUGGGGGUCAGUGGCCUCCCUUGCCCUACACAGCUGGCCCUGCCUGGCCUCAAAUGUCCUGAAGCCUACAAGGGAGCAGGGCCGGGCCACCCUCAGUCACAUACUGACCCCACAUCCUGCCCUCUGGGACUCUGUCCAGGGGUCUCUGAUCAAACACACCCUCUGGGAGUCGGGGAGUAGAUCAUGGGACCCCUGUGGCCCCUGCUCUGACUUCCUGUGUUUGGUCAUUAGUCUCACAAGCAGUAUAAGCUUCCAGUCACCAAGAGGCCCCUGAGAACUGGUGCAUUUGCUACUUAUGGGAGAAGGCUGAGGUGCUGGCGCUGGGGGCCCCAACAAUGGCUUGUCUAGUUGUCUGUCCAGGUACUCCUUUGCCAGUGACCAGAAACCCAGGUCAGCUGCAACCAGCAGCUGGGCUUCCUAAGCUGGGUCAAAUAGCACCUCCACAAACUGGUUCCUUCGCAGGUGACUUCCUCUACUUUAAGUGUCCACCACAUGGCCAUUUAGGCCUCUGCAGGCCUGUCCAGCCCAUGAGCUAGCAGGAAUCACCGGUGGCUGGGUCCCUGGGUGCAGCAGUCCCAGUGGGGCCGGUCUGUCUGCAUGCUGCCAGCCCAGGCAGCUCGGGCAGGAGCAGGAUUCAGGAGAGAGGGGCAGGGCAGGCCCUUCCUUCAGGCCUCUGCUCCCCACAGAGGUAUGGAGGCCCGGUGCUCUCCAGGCUGGGUGCUCCCCUUCUGAGACCCAGCCCUCCGCCCUCGGACUCAGCUCUAACGCCCAGAUAACUGUCUGUACACAGCAGGAGGUCCCAGGCCAUAAACACUGCUGAGGGGCAUUCUGUCCAACCUGUCCACCCGGCAGAGAGCCCCCGGCACAACCUGGGGGUAGGUGACACUCUUGUGCCCCAGGGAGGCAACUUUGCCCUCCACUCCUGUGUGGGGGCAGCGGGAAGCUUGGGGAGAGUGUGACUGCAAGCUUAGGGGCAGGUCCCCCGCCCGCCUGUGCCACUCCCACGCAGCACGACCCGGAGUGCAGUGACCCUGCUGGCCCACGCUGCCCACCCCGCUCGGCCUCCACAGCCGUGUUCCACCCCCGCUGCGCGUGCCUGCCUCCUGCAUUCAUGCCCCCAGCCCCAAUGCCCCCGUGGCCGCUCCCCGUUGCUUUCUGCCUUCGCGGCUCCACCUCUGGCCCCGGGCUUGUGAGGCCAGUCUGGGUGUGACAGUGAUGAGCUGUAGGGAGAAGUAGCGGGGACCCCCAUGUUCCUGUCUGAGCAUCUGACGGGCCGCAGAGCCGUCUCCCUCGUGGCCAGGCGGGUUCCCAACCUUCACCCUCCGCACGCGGCCCGCAGUUCUCUUGGCGGACAAGGCCCAGAGAAGGUCUGAGAGCCGCUUCCCUUCUGUGGGAAUCCUUUCUCCAGGAUUCACCAGACCAAAAGAGUGUUUUGGUCACCUGCUGUAGAACCCCGCUUCCAACGCCACCCGUCAGGCCCUGAUGGUCACCUGCCCCGCAGCCUUCCAGCACAGCUGGUGCUUUCAGCCACCCAGGGACGGCUCUCCAUCUCAGCGGGGGCACCAGGUCCAGGGCCGGGCAUAGGAACAUGCCCAGCUUUUAGUCAAGGAGAUGUGAGAAGCAUGCUGUUUGGAGGGAGGGCAUGUUUCUGGGAAUGCUAUUCUUCCUAUUAAAGAAAUAACCUGGCCAAGUUUGUGAUCCAGUGGUUUAGCAUCUGCCUGGCAUGCGUGAAGCCCAGGGUUUGGUCUCCAGCACUGCAAAACAAAUAAAUUAAUAAAUAAAGAGAUGGGGUACGGUGAAACACCCUCUUCCCUGCAUUUGCUGCAUUUUCUGGGAUAGUUUGUGAUGGUUGGAGCUGCAGCAGAUAUUUUGUGACCAAGAGGAGAAUACCUAGAGCAGAGUAGAGAGGCAAUUCCAGAUCCCUGUCCUAGUCGAGCUGCCCCAACAUGGAUGGACUCAUCAAUCUCAUUAAA